AGCAGCAGUGUCAUUAACAUACAAUCUGUUGGGAAAUGUUUAUCAGCUCAAAAAUCAACUACAGCUUAUAGCUGGAGUGAAGUGGACUGCCAUAAUUUGUAUACAUUCAGAGCUGUUGUCUUAAUCACUGAACAAAGCCUUGUUCUGUGGCAAUCAAGUAUUAAAUUGAGAACCAUGGUGACUGGAGAAAUAUGAAGACGAUUUGCUCGCCUGAUUUACAGAGGUGGAACAAGGCAGAAAGCUAUUUGGUGUCAUGUUUGCUGGGUUACCAUGGCUGGCCUGUGGGGUCUACAGGAGAACCAAUGAGACAUUCCAUUCUGUUAAAAAGAGAGAAAGAGAGAAAGAAACAGAAAACCACCUGAAGGCCUUUUCUAAAAGGCCUUAAAAAUAAGCCCUCUCUGAGGGAUUGCGAUUUUUGUAAACUCGGAAGAGCAGCUUUAAGAAAGUUUCCAGAUCAGACUGAAAACACCAAUCAAGAAUGUAGAUGUGGGUUUGGAUUCCUGUCCGUAACCAGGUCCAAGAUGGCCAUAUCCCUUCCUGCAUGAGGGACAGUGUCAAAGAGUGAAGUGUUUGCACCAUUUUUCUGUGCAAUGACCCCAGCUGCCAUGCAAUCCCUUGAAGCCUCAAACCAAGGGGACCUGAUCCACAUUAACUGCUCAUGCAGUCAGUAACAGGCGAGUACUGCAGAAAAAAAGCUGGAAGCUGAGGAUGCUGCACGUAGCUCUAUCAGAGUGAAGGAGCUAGAUCCCAGAAUGUUUCCCAAAAUGUCCCAGGAAUCAUCUGUGCUGCAGUAUUGACAUGAACUAUACCAGGGAGUCUGGGGGCCUUUCAAAAAGAUGCCCUCACCUCUCCUUUUUAUUCCAACUGAACAAUAUCGAUUUGGUCCAGGCAGAGGCUGGGAUAUGCACACAUCAUUUGCUGCAUUUUCUGAUAAGCGAAAUCCACUAAUGGAUGCCCAAAGCUACAAGAGAAGAACACAAUGUCACUGUUUUCUUGAAAGUAUGAAGACAAGUGACACAUGGAAGAAAUACAGCCAAGCCUGAGGUAUGCUUUUUCAGAUUGAACAGAAGUCACAAGAUCCUCACACAUUCACUCUUCUGGUCAUAAGCUAUGAAAUUGGUCUGCAGUCAAGAAUAUGAAAGCAGUUCUCAUCAGUGCCCAGGACAUGGGAUCAUUCUGAUCGUGAAAAACUUUAAAAGGUUCCUCUUUAUUCAACCCCAGUUACUUCUGCCUAUCUGAACACAAAUUUCUGCAGCCUCUUCCCAGGCUACUUGUUUCUAAAAAAAAAAAAAAAAGGCCGUUUGCAUUUAGAGCCCUCCAAGCCCCAUCUACCAUAAGCUUUUCUUUGACCUGCUUGGUGUGGACAAUUUCCCUAGCAUACAUCAUUCUGCCCACCCUCUCUCUACCAGACGUGGUCAACCAUUAAGCUAAUUAAGCUAUAUGCAGGAUUAAGUCUAUAGGGCUAGAUUCACAAAGGGACUAAGGUGUUUGAAAUGGGAAUUAAGCUGAUUAUCAGCAUAUCACUCUCAUUAUACGGUCUUUGAAACUCGUAUAGCCUUGUCGUUGUGCACGUUUCCUCCAGGAGAGUUCCUGUGUGUACAUGGAAGGAACAGAGUCCCCUUUAUGUUGUUUCCCCAGUGAGAACUGCCUCAGGGUGAGUCCUGGCGUGGGGGAUGUUCAACCCCCACAUCAUUCUAUCCACUGUUCUGAAUACAUGAAAUGCUGUCUUUCCCAAAUCCAUGCAAUACGGUUUGCUUGCUCCAUGUAGUAGGAAGGCCUUUUUAAACCAUCUCGUUUCGCACCUUUAUGUACAAAAUCGUCAGGGAACAAAAGACAUUUUUGUUAGCAAAGGCUCACAGAGCUUUUCUUUCAUGUGUGACAGAUGCUUUCAGAAUCCAUGUGAGGGAGCCUGCAUAAUUGAUACACAACACCAGUGACCCAGUCUGAAUGACUUAAAGUCUUUAUUUUCAUCUCGGGUGGCUCAGAAGCAGCCAGUGGAAUUUGUAAAGCUCCAUUAAGAUGUUCAGGUCUUCAGUCCCUCUAGCAGUGGGACCCGUGUAAAUAUCUAAGGACAAAUAGCCUAGAUUUCAUUAGCAAGAUAAAAUCCACAUUGUGAAACAUGAGAAACCAAAUGUGAUAAGGAAGUAAUUGCAGGCUGGUUAUGUAUAGUGUCAGCCCCAGCAGGAGGAAAAAUAAUAAAAAGAGGAAAAAUUAUGAGCUCUAAACAGCAACAGCUGCCCUGUGAGUCUUGACUGCCACAUGGCACUUCCUCCUCUCUGUAAGCCUUAGCAAAAGUUAGCUAGCUUAAUAAUAAGAAGAUAAAAUGGAAAUUUCUUGAUACUGUACACUAUUCAAAGUGCCAUCUCUGUCAGUAGCAUACUGUACUACCAAGUCCUCCUCAAAUUUUCGUCUUCAUCCAGGCACAAAAUGAGGAGAACUCAGAUGGAUUUGUUUCUUCUCUUUGACCAACAUAUUUGAAUUGCCCAGGGUUUUGGAGGGGCUAUAAGAUUCCCAUGGAUGAAAUUAUAUAUAAACACUAUGUUUUAUUGUAAUGAAACUUUACAGAUAAUUAGUCUGUUCAUUAAUGCUUCUCUCUUUCAUAUUCUGAUGUUUUUGUCACCCCCCAAACCUUAAGAGUCAUGGAUCAUUUCAGUGUCCAUGCCCUGUUUUCCAAGACAGGUGAGACUGCAGCCCUUGAGGGCCAGGGAAGCAGUCCUUGUUGCCCCAUGCCUUGCGGAUCCAUGGC
ensembl:lncRNA